AAUGCCUAGGAAUCUGCCUGGUAGUGGGGGAUAACGCUCGGAAACGGACGCUAAUACCGCAUACGUCCUACGGGAGAAAGCAGGGGACCUUCGGGCCUUGCGCUAUCAGAUGAGCCUAGGUCGGAUUAGCUAGUUGGUGGGGUAAUGGCUCACCAAGGCGACGAUCCGUAACUGGUCUGAGAGGAUGAUCAGUCACACUGGAACUGAGACACGGUCCAGACUCCUACGGGAGGCAGCAGUGGGGAAUAUUGGACAAUGGGCGAAAGCCUGAUCCAGCCAUGCCGCGUGUGUGAAGAAGGUCUUCGGAUUGUAAAGCACUUUAAGUUGGGAGGAAGGGCAUUAACCUAAUACGUUAGUGUUUUGACGUUACCGACAGAAUAAGCACCGGCUAACUCUGUGCCAGCAGCCGCGGUAAUACAGAGGGUGCAAGCGUUAAUCGGAAUUACUGGGCGUAAAGCGCGCGUAGGUGGUUCGUUAAGUUGGAUGUGAAAUCCCCGGGCUCAACCUGGGAACUGCAUUCAAAACUGUCGAGCUAGAGUAUGGUAGAGGGUGGUGGAAUUUCCUGUGUAGCGGUGAAAUGCGUAGAUAUAGGAAGGAACACCAGUGGCGAAGGCGAMCACCUGGACUGAUACUGACACUGAGGUGCGAAACGUGGGGAGCAAACAGGAUUAGAUACCCUGGUAGUCCACGCCGUAAACGAUGUCAACUAGCCGUGGG
rnacentral:rRNA from 1 species